AAUAAAAUUUGCUGCCUGGUAAAAUGUUUACUGAACAAAUGAAUGAUUUGAAACAAGAUUAAAACUAGUCUCUAAUUUGAAUUUAAAGUGUGUUACAACCUAAUACAGAAGUGGAAUGGGAAAUAGCAGCUCACAUUUAUGGAUUUAAUCAUUAAUUAUUAUAUAUUUCCUGCAUUUUUGUUUGCUGGCACCACAGAACAGGUGGGUAGAAGUAUAUUCUAAUAGGUCUGUUUCUUGUGCUGAAAAUAGAAAUGAAUUUAAAAUUUUUCUACUUACUGUGACCAUUAUGUGGAUAUCCACGUUGUCAGUGAUGCCAGGGCCAUCUUCAUGGAGCCUGUUCAGUUCAGGGACCAUCUCACCUCUUGCUUUUGAGCAUAUUUUGAAAUAUGUUGUUUAUCAGACAUGACUAAGUAGUAAUUUAUAUUUUAGAAAUCAAGUAUAGACAUUAUAAUGCCCAUUUAAUGUAAGUCACACUCAUUAAUCAACAUAAACGAAUUAGGAUUGCCUGUCUAUCUUGGUAUCAUUCCUGUUAAAACCCUGUUUGGCUUUAACACUAACUAAUGUUCAUGUUCAAUGUUCAUAUAUUGACAGUUACCGGAAUGGGUUAUUCUGAUUUCCAAUUUAUAUAAAGUUAGUUUAAAGACCCUGGGUCUACUGCUUUGGGUGAAUAUUAUUUGAUAGUUUGUAUUGCUCUGAAGAUGAGAGUAUUCUUAAGGGGAAUGUUGGCUUUAAUCAGAAUGGGAACAUUGUAAUGUCUCUGUCAUCAGGUAAGCUCUGUUGUGCCGAAUGCUAGCCGUCAUCCGCCUUCACAGGGAAGCGCAGUAAGAACUCAUCUUUGAUGGUCCUUUGAUGGUCUUAGACCUUCUCAAGUGUUUGUGGAGAUAUUUUUAGACCAUUGGUUCUCAACCUUCAAAUGCUGCAACCCUUUAAUACAAUUACUCAUGUUCUAGUGACCCUAGCCAUAAAAUUAUUUUCAUUGCUAUUUCAUAACUGUAAUUUUGCUACUGUUAUGAGUUGUCAUAUAAAUGUCUGUGUUUUCUGAUGGUCCUAAGUGACCCCUGCUGUGGGCCUGUGUACUGGAGGCUUUCAGGGGUUCAGACGAAGGGGGGAGAAUGCGAGCAGGGAGGGGGAAUUGGAGGAAUUGCCUCCACUGCCUCUGCUGCUGCAGCUGCCUCCACCUCCGCUGCUGCCAUCGCUUCUGUUGCUCCAGGAUGCUACACUGGUAGAUCUGCGCUGAGUCUGGCCGGGCUGAGCCAGCCAGAGGCUGACUAGCCAGCGAGGGGUACGGGGAAGCUUCUAGUGGAGCUUCUGGUGGCAUUUUUGGGAGAGCAGGUCUCUUCCCUGGCAGUGGUGUUGCAGCUCUUAUGACAAAGGCUCUCAGACAACGGAGUAGGUCUCACACACCUUUAUUUCUUCUAGAGAGGAUCCUUAUAUACAGUUUUGGGGUGGGUCAGGGUCUAACAAAAGGUGCUUCCUAUUGGCUUGGUCUGAGAACUUGAGGAUAUCUUAUCUACAUGUGGGAGAGCUUAGAGUGCUGCCCUUAUGUGUCUGACAGCCACAAACCUGGUGGUUGUGGGGGGCUGUGGCUACGGGUUUACAGGGUCCUGGUUCUGGGAGCAGGCAAAGCUCCUACCAACCUUCCAGGGUCCCGCGGGCUUCAAACCUUAGCUCAACCUUACCAGGCUUCCUCUCACAGCCCAUCACCCCACACCCUGUAAAAGUUGUUUAACCUCCAAAGGGGUCACGACCCACAUGUUGAUGCUUUAGAUAGGUAUUUGGAAAGGAGACAGAACCAGAGAGACAACAUUAUAUGCAACCAAUAAUGUGUUCUCUUAUGUUUCUCAAAUAAAAGGAAUAGUCUUUCCCAGUAAAAUGUCCAAAGUGACCUUUAAAAGAUGGAUAGUCCAGCUAUGACAAUGUGCCAUUAUCAGAAGCUUCCGUGUAUUGUUUGGACAUACAAAUGUUUAUCAGGCAAAAUAUUUGCAUUUAAUUGUGAAAAAGUGAGAUCAUUUUUGCCAGUUGAUUUGAGUUUUGACCUCUGAGGAGCAAGUUGCAAUUUUCAGGUCCUUCUAAAUAGAAAUAAGUUUCAGAGAAACUGCUAAAAAUGUAUGUUGUAGUUAGUUUCUGUUAAAAUGUAUGUUGGUAAUAUAUGAUUUUUAAAAUUAUGAAAGCAUUUAAAAGAAUAACUCAGCAGAAUCAAUAUCUUCUAGACUCUCCUUUUCUGUUCCUUUUGUCCAUCUCACACUUAAUGUUCUCAUAUGUAUUCACAGUUAUCACCUCCAUUAUGGUCUCUGAAUUCUAUUCUUAUGCUGAUCUAAGCUGCUUCUUCCCUAUUGCCACUAACGUAAUCUUUCUUAAAACUCAAAUUCUCAGCACUUUUCCUUCUCUAAUGACUUUCUUGGUUUCCCACUGAACUGAAGGUGAACUCAGUCUCAUCCACCUUGUGUGGUCUUGCCCUUACCAUUCCCUCUCCAUUGCAUUACACUCACCAUUGCUGUGUUGUUUCUUUUGCUCUGAACAUCUAUGUAGUGUUUCACAGCUCAGGUUUUGUACCUACUAUUCUUCCUGUCCAGAAUGUCCUCCUUUCUUAAAUUACAGCAUGUGUGCCAUGUUUCAGUUCUCCAGGAAGGCCUCCUGCCUGGCUCAACAUCCUGGCUAUUUCUUGUUGAAUUUAUCGCAUUCCAAGUUUGCUUUUAGGGUUUCACCUACAUUGUAAGGUAGUUGCUUAGGUGUGGUUUGCUUCAGAGAUAAGAUUGUAGUCAGGAGCCAACACCGUAUGUUUUUAGACAAAUGAAAUUACUGAAGGAGAGCAGGUGUGAGGAUCAAGGCUUAAGACAGUUGUUUCGGCUCCAUGUGAGUGAAUCCAUCAGUUAGUACAUUGAGCUUGCUUUAGUUUGGCUUUGCACUAUGUUCCUUUUGUGCAUUAGAAUUAGACCAUGUCUAAGAAUUUUUCCAUUGUGGAACUCAGCAUUCACAUGUUGUCCUCCUCCCUCUCAGAGGAGAAGGGGAAAGAGGAAUUGGGGGAGGAGAGGGGCUGUGAAUACUGGGACGUAUAUUGGGAUGUAAAGUGAAUGAAUGAAUAAAUGAAUAAAUAAAUAAACAAAUGGG
rnacentral:lncRNA from 1 species